rnacentral:tRNA from 1 species
AGAGAGGUGUCCGAGUGGUUGAAGGAGCCAGCCUGGAAAGUUGGUAUACGGGUAACUGUAUCGAGGGUUCGAAUCCCUUCCUCUCUGCAA